GGACGAACGCUGGCGGCGCGCCUAACACAUGCAAGUCGAACGGAGUUGUGUUGAAAGCUUGCUGGAUAUACAACUUAGUGGCGGACGGGUGAGUAACACGUGAGUAACCUGCCUCUCAGAGUGGAAUAACGUUUGGAAACGAACGCUAAUACCGCAUAACGUGAGAAGAGGGCAUCCUCUUUUUACCAAAGAUUUAUCGCUGAGAGAUGGGCUCGCGGCCGAUUAGGUAGUUGGUGAGAUAACAGCCCACCAAGCCGACGAUCGGUAGCCGGACUGAGAGGUUGAUCGGCCACAUUGGGACUGAGACACGGCCCAG
rnacentral:rRNA from 1 species